rnacentral:rRNA from 1 species
UACGUAGGGGGCAAGCGUUGUCCGGAUUUAUUGGGCGUAAAGCGCGUGUAGGCGGCUUUGCAAGUCGGGUGUGAAAGCCCUCAGCUUAACUGAGGAAGUGCGCCCGAAACUGCAGAGCUUGAGUACCGGAGAGGGUGGCGGAAUUCCCCAAGUAGAGGUGAAAUUCGUAGAUAUGGGGAGGAACACCGGUGGCGAAGGCGGCCACCUGGACGGAUACUGACGCUGAGACGCGAAAGCGUGGGUAGCAAACAGG